rnacentral:lncRNA from 1 species
CUGGAAUUUUAAACACAGGCACUGCAGAGGCUCAUUGGGAACAAGUGAAGCUGUUCAAGUGCUGAUUAUUCUGGCAGAGCCUGAGAAAAUUAGUUAAUAAUUAGGUGUGAAAUUAAUGUACACCUUCUGUUUUCCUUAGUAGAUUUCCCUUGUUGUUAAUUUGCUUCUGCACCACCAAGGGACAAAGUACAUUUAAAGAACAUACGUGGCAAUGAGCUUAAAGUGUCCCUAGCAGAUCUGGUACGGAAGAUCCACAAGUCUUUAAGCUAUUGCUUUGUGGCCUGUUUUGAAUUUUGUGCUAUUCAGGUGUCUCACUUCAGCUAGAGGGGAAGAGAGGCAAAACCCUUCCACUCAAGUCACUGCUGGUGAAAGCUCUGAGAAGCACCUGCCACCUGGACCAUGACCCAUGCCUCAGUGAGGAACUGUGCCUUCAUCAAUAGCACCAAGUUAGUCCAUUUGAAGUCAGCCUCCAUUUAUAAUAUUUUAACUGAUGGGAGCCCCUGGCUAAAAUGGCAUUCAAAAUCUCCAUCAGUACCAUUCACAUAAACAGGAGCCCAAAGGCAACACAGACUGAAUUAACUGAGGUGAGGUCCAUGUUAAAGCAUGGAGUCAUAGAUUUCAUGCUAAAGUUCUU